CACGCUCCUACGCUGAAAAGUGAAAAUAAAAGACCUUCCGUGUUCCAUGAUCCAUUUAUUUCCCUUUCACUCAGUUCAAAUAAAGUAAAAAACCCUGUAAAACAAAGGGUUUUUCUUUUUCUUUUUCUCUCUGAAGGAAAUAGAAGAAGAAUAAAAGGCUGCUAAUCAGAGCUUUAAAAUUGUUGGGGGAAAAUGGCUUGGGAUUUAAUUUUCUGGGUUGUCUGUUUCUUCAUCAACAUUGCUCUUCUUGCUUCAUCCUUCUAUCAGUUGUUAUCAUUAUCAGAUCUUGAGGCUGAUCAUCUGAAUCCUUUCGAAGCUUCGACUCGGAUUAAUUCGAUUGUUCUCCCGGAGUUCCUUUUGCAAGGAUUUCUCUGCAUUUCUUUCCUGCUCACCUGGCAUUGGUUCAUGUUUCUUUUCACUCUUCCUAUUGCUGCUUAUCAUCUCAUGUUGUACUUGAAUCAGAAGCAUCUUCUUGAUGUUACUGAGAUUUUCAGAGAUCUUAAUACUGAGAAGAAAUAUCGUUUUAUCAAGUUGGCCGUUUACUUAUUGCUCUUCACUGUAGUUUUGUUCAGUACCCUACAGCUAGGAGGAUGUCCAAUUAAGCAGUGAUAAAAAUGCUGGUGUGUCUUUCAUUCAGAGGUGUUCAAAGAGAUGCAUGCAUGUUCAUAAUGGAGACAAGCUAGUGAUAACUGCGUUCAACUCUUUACAUGAUGAAGUUGAUGUGCAUGCAUUUUGAUUACUUGGCAGUGUGGUAGUUGGUAUUUGUAAGUCUGUGUUGAAAGUGAAACCUAGCUAACUGGAGUAGAUGUUUCAAAAGUUGAUAGUUUGAUUAGUUUACUGAAUGGGUUUUUACUCGGGCUGAUUGAUGCAAAGGGGAGGUUACCUAGAUAAAUUUUCCAAGUUUUGAAAAAUCAAGUGAAAGGAGUGUUAUCUUCCUAAAGAAAUGAUUGAAUCAAGUAUGCUUUUUUUCUUGAA